UACGUAGGUCCCGAGCGUUAUCCGGAUUUAUUGGGCGUAAAGCGAGCGCAGGCGGUUAGAUAAGUCUGAAGUUAAAGGCUGUGGCUUAACCAUAGUAUGCUUUGGAAACUGUUUGACUUGAGUACAGAAGGGGAGAGUGGAAUUCCAUGUGUAGCGGUGGAAUGCGUAGAUAUAUGGAGGAACACCGGUGGCGAAAGCGGCUCUCUGGUCUGUAACUGACGCUGAGGCUCGAAAGCGUGGGUAGCGAA
rnacentral:rRNA from 1 species